GGCGUAAAGAGCUCGUAGGUGGUUUGUCGCGUUGUUCGUGAAAUCUCACGGCUUAACUGUGAGCGUGCGGGCGAUACGGGCAGACUUGAGUACUGCAGGGGAGACUGGAAUUCCUGGUGUAGCGGUGGAAUGCGCAGAUAUCAGGAGGAACACCGGUGGCGAAGGCGGGUCUCUGGGCAGUAACUGACGCUGAGGAGCGAAAGCGUGGGGAGCGAACAGGAUUAGAUACCCUGGUAGUCCACGCCGUAAACGGUGGGUACUAGGUGUGGGUUUCCUUCCUUGGGAUCCGUGCCGUAGCUAACGCAUUAAGUACCCCGCCUGGGGAGUACGGCCGCGAGGCUAAAACUCAAAGAAAUUGACGGGGGCCCGCACAAGCGGCGGAGCAUGUGGAUUAAUUCGAUGCAACGCGAAGAACCUUACCUGGGUUUGACAUGCACAGGACGCCGGCAGAGAUGUCGGUUCCCUUGUGGCCUGUGUGCAGGUGGUGCAUGGCUGUCGUCAGCUCGUGUCGUGAGAUGUUGGGUUAAGUCCCGCAACGAGCGCAACCCUUGUCUCAUGUUGCCAGCGGGUAAUGCCGGGGACUCGUGAGAGACUGCCGGGGUCAACUCGGAGGAAGGUGGGGAUGACGUCAAGUCAUCAUGCCCCUUAUGUCCAGGGCUUCACACAUGCUACAAUGGCCGGUACAAAGGGCUGCGAUGCCGCGAGGUUAAGCGAAUCCUUUUAAAGCCGGUCUCAGUUCGGAUCGGGGUCUGCAACUCGACCCCGUGAAGUCGGAGU
rnacentral:rRNA from 1 species